rnacentral:rRNA from 1 species
AAUGGGCGAAAGCCUGAUGCAGCAACGCCGCGUGAGCGAUGAAGGCCUUUGGGUCGUAAAGCUCUGUCCUUGGGGAAGAAAAAAAUGACGGUACCCUUGGAGGAAGCCCCGGCUAACUACGUGCCAGCAGCCGCGGUAAUACGUAGGGGGCAAGCGUUAUCCGGAAUUAUUGGGCGUAAAGAGUGCGUAGGUGGUCCUGUAAGCGCGGGGUGAAAGGCAAUAGCUCAACUAUUGUAAGCCUUGCGAACUGUGGGACUUGAGUGCAGGAGAGGAAAGCGGAAUUCCUAGUGUAGCGGUGAAAUGCGUAGAUAUUAGGAGGAACACCAGUGGCGAAGGCGGCUUUCUGGACUGUAACUGACACUGAGGCACGAAAGCGUGGGGAGCAAA